GGCAUAAGACCAAAAGUCUUAUCAAACCCAGAAUGUAAAUAAUGAAUUCUUUUCUCAUCCCCUCAUUCUAUUUUAAAAAAAAAACAUCUUUUCAACCAAAACAAGUACACACAAAAAGGGCUCCCUAGGAGUACCUAGGAAACUUUGGGUGAUAAUACCUUCCCUUUGUGUAACUAAUCCCCUUACCUAUAAUCUAUGACAUUUAAUUAGUUUUGAUUUGAAAACUUCUUAUAUUUGGGUUUUGU
rnacentral:lncRNA from 1 species